AUUCCCCCGCGGUGAAAAGAGGCCACCCAUCUCCUCCCAAUUCCCAGCCGCCGCCGCCACCACAUCCUCUCUCCUCCCCUGACGUCUCCUUUUUCCCCUCCUCUCCUCGCAACGGCCUCCUCCUUCCUGCACCGCCUCUUCCUCUCUUGCUGAUGGCGCCACCCGCCGGUCGAUGCCUCCUGUCUUGCCCUUUCCAUUGGGAGGUGGAGAUGGGAAGAUGGCGUUGGAGGAGGAAAACGAGAUCCAGGCAGUGGAAAGAUGGCGUUGGAGGAGGGAGCACGGGUGGGCGCCGCAGCUGAAGCACGAGUGGCCUGGUUGUGGCGGAGCAUGGCGGGAGUCCGGGCGGCGUCGUGGUCGUGGUCAAGAGGAGAAGCACGGGUGGCCGCCGUAGCUGAGCUUCUAUGUAACAUAGUUCCGAUGAAUCCUCUGCCGCAUCUGGCCUCUGCAGAUUCGUUUUUGUAUCUACCUAUAAGGCGUUCGAUGAAAAUCCAAGCUGCUGCAGUGGCAGAUUACGCCGUCCGCUUGCAUGCUGAGCCAUGUUGCGCUCUCCUGUUCUUUUUUGUUGGCUUGACGUACGCACUGGCAACCUCUUAUGUGAGGGCUUCAGCAUGCCUCUAUUUGAGAGAAAAGAUAUGGAGAAGCGGAUUUUCAGAGUGUCUCAGGCACACAAGCUAAAGGUUCACCAAGUUCAGGGAAAGAAAAGUUUCCCUAGACAGGUGGCGGCGGCGGUCAAGACAAGUGCGGCGUUGUGAGCAACGGCCCUCGAUCGUCUUCCUUGUGGAUUCAGGUACACGUCGUCCAUCUUGGCCCAUCGUGGGUGUUGGCGGGCGACCAGAGGCGGCUACAGCAGGCCAGUGUCUGUGAUCAAGACUGACACCGGGAAGGCUGCCGGUCUACAGUUGUGCGCUCGAUUCAAAUGAUUAUUCUCCGUUCUUUUCCUCAGAACUACAUAUGAGAGGUACAAUGGAUUGGCCAAGAUACUCAAUUAAGCUAUUCGAUUUAAGAUAAUGGAUGCAUUUUGAUGGAUCACAGCAUGCUCUAUGGUGUUGUGGAUCACCUGGAUAUCUUCUGAUAUUCAUCUUUCCAUGCUGCAACAAGGAGGGUGUAUGAGCUUAGAGAGUUAGUGUCCUUUCUCGUGACUGUUCAAAUAAGGUGUUUUUUUUUGUGAUCACAAAUUUGAUCAUAUAGUGUCCUAUAUGAUUCAUGUUUCUUAUUUAAUUACAAGUGAUGAAGACAUAUGUUGCAGCUGAAAUGAUUGCCCUUGCAUCGUGCUAAUUAAAUCACAUCUGCAUUUUGAUAAUCCCAGAAUCUGAUUAUUAGGCAUAGAAGUGAGAAAACUUCCACGAUGAAGUGACUGCUUCACAUGCACAUGGCUUGCCUGAUAUAAUCACGACCCCUGUUCAAGAAUUCAUCUGAUUAACCAGUUAACUUGCUGCUUAAUCCCUACUCGUAGGGUCACCGAGUAGCCAGUUAACUGAUUAAUCGCUUGAGUAAUUGAUUAAAUGGCCGAUUAACUUGCCGAUUAGCCUAUUAAUCCCCUACUCGUCAGCUAACCGAGCAGCUACCAGUUAAUGAUUUCCUCAACAAUGAUCACGACCUUCGUGUGUGAUCUGGAGAGGCCUGAGAUAGUUCAGGGUCUUGAACAUGGGCAAAAGCAGUCGACAUGACUGAUAUUACCGUACGAGUGCAUCAGAUGAAGCUUCUUGAUUACCUGCAGAAAAUCAGCACCGGGCAGGUGUUCGGGACUGUCGUUGCUGUUGUCCACACCGUGGAGUUCCAAAAGAGGGGUCUGCCCCAUGCACUUAUCCUUGUUUGGCAGCAGAAGAACAGUGCCCAGGGAUCUAAACUGACUGAUGUUGAUGAUGGUACUCCUGCCACUGCACUUGCUAAGACCAUGGAAACUACACUUGCUCAGCCACCAGACUUAAAAUGGGUGCUGUUGCUACUACAAAGACCGGUUCAUCAAAAAAAAAUUAGUAGCUGAUCCAUGCUUGGGGAUAAGCAUGCGUGGUUGAUUUGUAUAUAGAAGCUUGAUGCCUUGACCCUCGCUACUUCCACCCUCACUGCUAAGGGCGCCGUCCACAAGAACAAGUGAAGACUGCUUCAUCGUCGCUGUUUUCAAGACCUUAUCUUUGCACCCUUUUGAACAAACUACUGCUGUGUUGCUGCCGUGUUCACAAAUGAGGUCUUUGGCGCUCAUAGAGUCAUGCCAAACAUUUGUUGAUGCAUUUCCCUGUUUAAGAUCCGAACUAAGCUACUUCCAUGUCUUAUAAAUGCCAUCGUUUGCCUUUUGAACGAUGCUAUGUUGCUUUUCCAACACUGCGGUUAUGCCCC